rnacentral:rRNA from 1 species
UAUCGCGACGUAGUUUGAUCAGUGGCUCGAGGACGACGCUGGCGGCGUGCCUAACACAUGCAAGUCGAACGGGGUAAUUCUUCGGAGGUUACUUAGUGGCGAACGGGUGAGUAACGCGUGAGGAACCUGCCUCUCAGUGGGGGACAACAGUUGGAAACGACUGCUAAUACCGCAUAAAACCGUAGUACUGCAUGGUACAUCGGUCAAAGAUUUAUUGCUGAGAGAUGGCCUCGCGUCUGAUUAGCUAGUUGGUGGGUAACGGCCCACCAAGGCGACGAUCGUUAGCCGGACUGAGAGGUUGAACGGCCACAUUGGGACUGAGACACGGCCCAGACUCCUACGGGAGGCAGCAGUGAGGAAUAUUGGGCAAUGGGCGCAAGCCUGACCCAGCAAUGCCGCGUGAAGGAAGACGGUUUUCGGAUUGUAAACUUCUUUAAGAGGGACGAUAAUGACGGUACCUCUUGAAUAAGCCACGGCUAACUACGUG